rnacentral:lncRNA from 1 species
AAUUUCUCUUGCUUGUUGGCCAAGCUAUUCUCUGUGGGAUCGAUACCCAACCCAGGUUGGGUUCUAUAUUUGCUAACGACCGCUUUACACUCCCACGAGAGCUGUAGAUUGAGCGUUAUCAGGGGUUCGCAUCCAUGCCGGGGAAUACGAGUGUCAAUCAAGUUCGUGAAAAUUACUAGACCCUUUGGUCAAAGAUUCUCGUACUUUUACGUUUAGUUUUUGUUUUUGUUUAUUGCAGGUUUUUCUUUUAGUGCAUGCCCCAUACUAGAAGUUCUGGUCAACCGUUACUACCAAUCAAUCCGGAACCACAACGAAUCAGAAGAAUGGAAGCACAAGCGGAAAUCGACAGGAUGGCUGCUCAACAUGAGCAAGCAAGAUUAGCUGCUCUUGCCGCUGCUCAAGUCCAACAACAAAACAUUGAUAAUCCUGGACGAGCAACAAAUCCUGACGAUGAAGAUUUAGGAGAUGACGAGUUGAUCAACCCAAGGCAUGGCGCUGAAAUGGCAACACCUACCAACAGA